rnacentral:lncRNA from 1 species
CAGAAUGGAUUAAAUCAGCACUCGAGUGUGUCAGAGGGUUUGGAAGCAUCCCAAUGCUCUUGCCAGCAGCGAUGACUGAGAACCCACACCUGGGACAGGGCACCCUGCAGACCUGCUGUGCUGUGCAGGUGGCUUGAGGGGAUCUUCCUGCAGAGCCACACUCCCUAAAACACAAGGGUUGGCUGGUGCUCAAAAAUGCAUGCAGGGUGGGAAGAGAUGACAGGAGGUCUGGAGUUUGUUUUAGACUGCAGUCGAGAAAAUUAAUAAAAGGGGCCAGAUAAGUACAUUCCAGCAGUUGUGAACACAAGUCUCUUCCAACAUUCGGAUUUCUCUCAGAAUUCUUGCCUUAUCUGAAAAGCAACCUCAUUUGUGUUUAUUGACUGCCUGAUAUGUUCAAGGCCUGCACAGAGGACCUCAGAUACAACCAAGAGGAAAAGGAGCUUUGGCUUUGGGAAAACAACAAGACUCCAACUCAUGCAGGAUUUCCAAGGUCCAGUGACCUGUCUUCUACCUUACGUGUCCAUAGGUAGCUCCAUGUUCAGCAGCUCUGGGAAGUUUUGUUCUCUGAGGAGCACAAGAGCCAGCAGAUUUCCCUCCUGAUUGCAAUGUGCAGAUCUGUCCACUAGGACCGGCUUCAGGCUUUCCUGUAUAGGACUCAAACAACUCAGGAAACAAAAGUGAGAACUGACAAACUGAAAAUUUGAAACUUAAAUCAAACAACUGCUGUACAGCAAAGGAACAGUCAAGAGAGUGGAGAGAUAACCUACGGAAGGGGACAAAGUAUUUGUCAGCUUUUUGCCUGAUGGAGGAUUAACAUCUAGAACAUAUCAAGAAUUUGAGGGCUGGGGAUGUGGCUCAAGUGGUAGUGCGCUCGCCUGGCAUGCUUGCGGCCUGGGUUCCAUCCUCAGCACCACAUACAAACAAAGAUGUUGUGUCCGCCGAAAACUAAAAAAUAAAUAUUAAAAAAAUUCUCUCUCUCUCUCUCUC